AAGCAGUAUAUAAGUCUAAGUGCUAUUGCUAUAAGUUCUUAAGCAGUCUACUCUUAGCUGGAAAUCUAUGGAGGCUGAACUAUAGCAAAGUUCUGAUGUCCAAACUUCCAUAUUUGACAUAUUCACUGCUUUCUUAUAAACAAGUGCACCUAAAUAAUAAGUAUCUGCAAUAAUCAAACUUUAUUUCAUCUGGUGCUUGUGUCAGUCCACUCAAGGAUA